AACGAACGCUGGCGGCGUGCCUAACACAUGCAAGUCGUGCGAGAAAGUUCCUUCGGGAGCGAGUAAAGCGGCGCACGGGUGAGUAACACGUAGGUAACCUGCCCCCCAGUCUGGAACAACUAGAGGAAACUCUAGCUAAUGCCGGAUGAGACCACGAUCCCUUCGGGGGUUGCGGCCAAAGAUGGCCUCUACUUGUAAGCUAUCGCUGAGGGAUGGGCCUGCGGGCCAUUAGCUUGUUGGUGAGGUAACGGCUCACCAAGGCUGUGAUGGCUAGCUGGUCUGAGAGGAUGACCAGCCACACUGGGACUGAGACACGGCCCAGACUCCUACGGGAGGCAGCAGUGGGAAUAUUGCGCAAUGGGACGAAAGCCUGACGCAGCGACGCCGCGUGGGUGAUGAAGGCC
rnacentral:rRNA from 1 species